GACGAACGCUGGCGGCGUGCUUAACACAUGCAAGUCGAGCGGUAAGGCCCUUUCGGGGGUACACGAGCGGCGAACGGGUGAGUAACACGUGGGUGACCUGCCCUCAGCUCUGGGAUAAGCCUGGGAAACCGGGUCUAAUACCGGAUAUGACUCCAUGACGCAUGUUGUGGGGUGAAAGCCUUGUGCGGCCGAGGAUGGGCCCGCGGCCUAUCAGCUUGUUGGUGGGGUGAUGGCCACCAAGGCGACGACGGGUAGCCGGCCUGAGAGGGCGACCGGCCACACUGGGACUGAGACACGGCCCAGACUCCUACGGGAGGCAGCAGUGGGGAAUCUUGCGCAAUGGGCGAAAGCCUGACGCAGCGACGCCGCGUGAGGGAUGACGGCCU
rnacentral:rRNA from 1 species